CUCAUCUUAUCCUGGGGCUGGAGCAAACCAUAUCUGCUCUCCUUGCUGGAAACAGCAAGGUAAUCGGUUGGUGGAUUUUGUCUUUGGCAUAAUCCACCAACCGGACUGUAACAAUGCGGUACCCUCCGCGGUACAGGAAACAAGCUCAAAACGGAGAAGGCUGACUCAUGCGGUCUAGGGAAGACAAAUGACCUGCAGUUUCGCAGGUCCCAGGUGUGCUACACUUGGAGUAUGAGAGCUAAUUCCGUAGGAAAGAUGUGUUCUGAAGUCGAUCUGGCAUAUGUUGCUGGUUUGGUUGAUGGAGAUGGCGCUAUCAUGGCGUGUAUCGAACCACACCAAGAAAAGAAGUUUCGGUUCAGAGUAAGGGUUGUUUUCAAAGUCACUCAAAAACACAAGGAAGACUUAAUAUUUCUUGAAAAAUUGUUUGAGUGUGGCUUAAUAAGACAAAACGGAUCAACAUACGAUUGGAUAGUGCGCGAUCAACAAUCGCUCGCUACCAUACUUGGUAUGUUACUCCCUUACUCCCGCUCGAAACAGCAGCAAAUUAAGCUUGCGUUAGAUAUUCUUCAUACUGAAAUAGUAACCAAAGAAGACCUACUGCGAGUUGCCACAUUGGCGGAUGCAUUGUCACGGUUUAACGUUCGGUCCAACAACCGACGAAAAAACCAUGUGACAAUGAUCCAAGAACACAUUUCCUCUAACGACUGAUCGCUACUGGUUGGCAGUAGCGUGAGAUAUACCCGCUUUGUGGGGUAUCACACGGCUUGCACCUACGGUGCGUGUGGUGACACGCGUACUACGGUGAUGGAAUAGUCUGAUCUAUGCGGGAACGCAUAGUUAACAGCAAAAUGAGGUCCCAAGGGUUUGGCUGUUCGNNNNNNNNNNNNNNNNNNNNNNNNNNNNNNNNNNNNNNNNNNNNNNNCUCCUAUCUACUGCAGGCGUCGAUUCUUGAGGAGAGUUGUCCGUAGUAAGUAAUUGCUACUUCAAGGAGAGAUCCUUGAUGACAAUACGGCUUAUAACGGUGAAGUCUAAGUCAAAUCUGGUUUUAGAGAAUGAUUGACCAAGGUCCAGUGUCAAUCAAACUCGCUUGAGGACCGGAAUCUUGAUAUGAUAAUACCGUGGGAAGUCGAUCCGACACAGAUUUAGCAUACAUUGCGGGUUUCCUUGAUGGAGACGGAAGCAUUAUGUUGCAGGUAAAGUCGCGUAGCGAUACAAAUCGCGGAGUGCGCUUUAUGGCAACUAUCUGCCUCUAUCAAGAUACUCGUCACGAGAGUCCACUGUUGUGGAUGCGUGAAAUCUUUGGUAUCGGGUACAUAUCACACCGUAAGGAUAGUAUUACCGAACUGAGAGUUAAUGGUUUUGCUUCGGUAAGAAGAAUACUCAUUUUGCUCCAGCCUUACAUUAGGUUCAAACAAGUACAAGUAACAGCAUUGUUGAAUGCUUGCGAAAUACUUGGUGGCCGCAGGGUUGGUGAUCUGAAUGAAGUCCAGCUGAAAGAGUUGGUUGAUCUGGUUUUUUUGAUCAGGGAAAACAACUAUAAAAGCAGGCAGACGCUUACCAAAGAAACAUUGCUACUGCGUUUGGGUUUGACCCCGUAACGACUUGCACUGAAAUAUGUGCAGACCGCAUGUUGAUGAAUCAUUUCUUUGAAAAUGACUGACCAUGCAGGUAACAUGCCGUCGCCCUCGCCCUUUGCCUUUCAAGGUGCAGGGACGGGUGAAGAUAUAGUCUGUGCUCCUAGAAAUAGGGGAAUCCACGACGAGAGGACCCGGAUGAACGAACCUCUGGUCUAUCGGCUGUCACGCCAGUGGCAUUGCCGAGUAGCUAUGUUCGGAACGGAUAACCGCUGAAAGCAUCUAAGCGGGAAGCCGCCUCCAAGAUAAGGAAUCAUUAAGUCCCCAGAGAGAUGAUCUGGUUGAUAGGCACUAGGUAGAAGUACAGCAAUGUAUGGAGCCGAGGUGUACUAAUAGGACGUAGUUUCCUGUAA
rnacentral:rRNA from 1 species